UACAGAGGUCCCAAGCGUUGUUCGGAUUUACUGGGCGUAAAGGGUGCGUAGGUGGUCGGGUAAGUCUCAUGUGAAAUCUCCAAGCUUAACUUGGAAAUGGCAUGGGAUACUAUUCGGCUAGAGGAUUGGAGGGGGGACUGGAAUUCCCGGUGUAGCAGUGAAAUGCGUAGAUAUCGGGAGGAACACCAGUGGCGAAGGCGAGUCCCUGGACAAUUCCUGACGCUGAGGCACGAAGGCCAGGGGAGCAAACGGU
rnacentral:rRNA from 1 species